GGUAACUCGCUCGGUUUUUUUUCCACGCAGUUGAAGUUUUGUUUUUUUUUUUUUUGUUUUGAGUCGGAGUCUCACUCUGUCGCCCAGGCUGGAGUGCAGUGGCGGCAUCUCGGCUCACUGCAAGCUCCGCUUCCCGGGUUCACGCCAUUCUCCUGCCUCAGCCUCCCAAGUAGCUGGGACUACAGGCGCCCGCCACUACGCCCGGCUAGUUUUUUGUAUUUUUAGUAGAGACGGGGUUUCACCGUUUUAGCCGGGAUGGUCUCGAUCGCAGUUGAAGUUUUAUUCUUUCACUGUUUGCAAUAACUCUUACUGCUGCUCACUUUUUGGGUGUACACUGCGUUUAUAAGCUGUAACACUCACUGGGAAGGUCUAUGGCUUCACUGCUGCAACCAGCGAGACCACGAACCCACCAAAAGGAAAAAAACUCCGAAAACAUCCGAGCAUCAGAAGGAACAAACUCCGGACAUGCCGUCUUUAAGAACUGUAACACUCACCUUGAAGGUUGGCAGCUUCAUUCUUGAAGCUGGAGUGCAGUGGCCCAAUCUCAGCUCACUACAAUCUCUGCUUCCCAGGUUCAAGUGAUUCUCGUGCCUCAGCCUCCCGAAUAGCUGGGAUUACAGGAGGCUCCCAGCCCUUUCGGAUUGGUUGAGAAAAGUGGCCUGGCUGGUCUGGGGCCAGCGGCACCCACCCUCCCCUCAAUUGCCCAACUCCCCCCC
rnacentral:lncRNA from 1 species